rnacentral:lncRNA from 1 species
UACUUCUAACCAACUCCUAAUAGGACUCCUACUCAAGACUCCUACUUCUAACCAACUCCUAAUAGGACUCAUACUUCUAACCAACUCCUAAUAUGACUCCUACUCAAGACUCCUAUUCUUUUAUAACUCCUUAUUCUUCUCUAAGAAAUAACCUCCUAACCCUAGCCGGCCACUUCACCUCUUUAAUAGGGGUCGGCUUAGGUAGGUUUUACAUGAAUGUCCCUCUCAAUUAGGACUCUCCUAGCU